ensembl:snRNA U6 U6 spliceosomal RNA
GUGCUCAGUUCAGCAGCAUAUACACUAACAUUGUAACACUACAGUAAGGAGAAGAUUUGCUUGACCCCUACACAAAGAUAACCCCUAACUUUGUAAAGUGUUUCGUAUUUUU